AGCUCAAGGUUGGCUUGGGAACAGACCUUCUUUAUAUUGGAGCUGAGCUAAGCCACUCACUAAGAACUACAACUCGUCCAUUCAUCCAGAGAUCCAAGACUCCAGCUUUCAGACGAAACCAUGGCGUUCUCUCCUCGUCUGAUAUACCUCGCUAUCCUGGUCCUGGCAUCUCAUGUGAUGUUAAGCGAUGCCGCUGUCACUGAGUCGCCGCUUUAUGCCAAAAGGAUUCCAGACAAGGCUCUGGUCAACCAGCCUGAUGCGCAUGUCGAAGCAACCCUCGACAGCCACCCCCUAAGCACCAACACCAUUGAGGGCACAGCUGAUCUCAACAGGAAUGAAGCGUUCACCAUACCCAGCUGCACGUCUGAAUCAACCCCUGAGGUUUGUGGUACUCAAGGAAAAAUCUAUCAGCGUUCCUCAUCACCUGAGCAGCUGUGAAUACCAACUGUUAAAAGGGUUUGGUAGUAAGACAUGCUCCCUAAAAAAGACACUCUGUACUUCUACUAUUAUGCCAACUGAACAUCUCUGUAAAAAAAAGUCUUCGUAAUGUUAGACUAAUGAUGCCAUUGUUUGGGUAGAGUAGGCUUUUUGUUCAAUACAUCUGUGAACACCGCUGAUAUCCAGCAAUCAUCACAUCAAACUCUUUCUCAAUCUGCCUGUUUAUCCUUUAAACUGUGAAAUCAUGUUCAACCCCAGAUGCAAUGUCUAACAUGUCUAACAACAGUUAAUAAAGUGAUUUCAUGCAAACUGCAAA